rnacentral:rRNA from 1 species
UACAGAGGGGGCAAGCGUUGUUCGGAAUUACUGGGCGUAAAGGGCGCGUAGGCGGCCUGCUAAGUCGAACGUGAAAUCCCCGGGCUCAACCCGGGAACUGCGUCCGAUACUGGCAGGCUUGAAUCCGGGAGAGGGAUGUGGAAUUCCAGGUGUAGCGGUGAAAUGCGUAGAUAUCUGGAGGAACACCGGUGGCGAAGGCGGCAUCCUGGACCGACACUGACACUGAGGAGCGAAAGCCAGGGGAGCGAACAGG